rnacentral:tRNA from 1 species
GCGGCGGCUUUGUAGCCUGAAGCGACGGACUAAAAAUCCGCGCGCGUCGGUUCAAUUCCGCGCCGCCGUC